UAACAUAUCUCCACAAACUUUUGGCCUUGUUUACCAAAGCUUUCCAUGCUGGAACAACCGAUGAAUUGCUCACAAAGGACCACUUGUUAAUAAAAAUGGGUGAAAAACCCCAUGUCGUGUUGUUGCUUAAUGUGAGACCACCUGUUCUUACAAAAAUAAGGAAUGCAAACCGAUGAAUUGCUCACAAAGGACCACUUGUUAAUAAAAAAGGGUGAAAAAACCCAUGUCGUGUUGUUGCUUAAUGUUGGAGACCACCUGUUCUUACAAAAAUAAGGAAUGCAAACCGAAAUAGACCUCAUGACGGUAUGGUUACGCUUUGCAGUUAUUGGAUGAAAUAGCUGCAAAAUUUUAUGGCGUACGGCAACAGAAUCCUCUGGAAGGACUUUUCGGUGAAAUGUUCAAGGUGUAAUUGACUUGAAACGAACUUUAUCAUCAUGUCCUUGCCUUCAAUGCAAUGAUUGGUUUUCAGCUAAAAAAAGGCAUCCAUUGGCCAAAAUAAUACAUUUGUGGGAGAUCAAGUGGGUCACCCAGGAAAAACGCACAGGAAGUGCUUUGUUGGAGCUUCCUCAGUCAUAGUCAACGGAGUUAGUAUAUUUAACAUCAAACUACAUGAAGAUGGGCCGCUGAUCUGUUGUAAAAUCGUUCUAUUGGUUUUGAUGUUUUUCUUUUCUUCUCCUAAAGGUUUUGAUGUUUUCCAGCAGUGUAACAGAAUUUCCCUUUGCAGAUUAUUGUAAGAUGAUACGGCAUUUUGUUAUCCUUUUUUCCCCAUUCUGUGCUAAAUUUGUUUUGACGGUUUAAGCAAAGAUAUCAGGUGCUAUAAUUCCACUUUU